rnacentral:ncRNA from 2 species
GUAAAACUUUAGGGGUGCUGAGUGAAUCGGCUGAGAAAUACCCUUUGAACCUGAACAAGAUAAUUCUUGCGAUAGGGAAAAGUUGAAAAACUAUG